GUUUCAGGCAAAUAUGAUAUAUCUUGGCAUUCUGUUGGUGACUUCAGUUGCAGUUGUGUCAGCUGUCAUGCUGGUGACUGGUUUGUCAACAUGGCCUUCACUAUUUGUCAAUGGAGAAUUAGAGGCAAAUAUGUCCAUUCUCGGAGUCACCUUGGUGAUUUUCAUUGGAGUUGUGUCAGUUGCCCAGAUUGUUACUGGUUUGCUAGGAUGGCAUUACUUCCAUAUUAAUGGAGGUUUAAACG